GGUUACAAGUAGGUAGCAACUACUUAUGUAGAAAGUGCAUAGUUAGAAAGGCCAAGCAUAAGAUCAAAGUGGAUAGAUUAACAAGACUUUUGUUGGAAGCACAUGAAUGUUUUAUAAUAAUUUUAAAAAGUUUUUUUAAUUUUUUUAAUCUCCUUUGUUGAACCUUUUUUUAUUUAUAGAUUUUGAAUAUAUUUUUGUAACUUUUUUAUUGUUGAUAAAUUUUUUUUAUUUAAAACCAUGACCAAAUCUUCAAUCAGAUCAACUCUUGUUUUUGAUUUUUCCGUGGUAAAAAGGAUAUAAUUUCAAAUCAGCAUUCUACUUGUCAUAGCGCUCUUUUUUUGUCACAUAAGUUGUGCUAAUAUUGUCAAAUUUCUUGAACUAGACCCUUUGCUAACUGUUACAAGACGCUUUAAUUUUAAUAAGCCAAACAAAAGAACUCUUGAACAACAAAGUCAGAAAAGUCAUAAUCUUAAAACUAUAGAACCAUUAUCUCCAGAAACAUUUGUAGACAUAUCUGAUAAACACUAAAAGGUUGAUAAUAAAGAUCAAAUACGAAAAUCAUUUGGUAAAGAUGUUGAUAGUGAGUUUUCAAUUUCCUUAGGGGAAGGGAGUACAACUGACUCAAAAUUUCAAGUUGUUAAUGCUGACAGUGCUCCUAUAAAAAAUGAAACAAACAAAACUAAAAAUAAUACAUUACAAAACAAAGUGAAAUUU